AUGACCUUUUAAGAAGGAUGGAAACUUGAAAGAGGUUGUCAGGACUAGGACUACAGCUAACAGAGAAUCUGUUAUUGCUCCAGGGUGGAGCCAAUACCCUGGGAUCCACAAGUUCCAAGAUAAAGGUUUAGCUGGGAGGGGUUCUCACAAAGAAGAAAAACAUCACAGCUGUUCCUUAUAGACCAUGGCAACGUGCUUGCCCACUCCAGUUACAGCUCAGGUCUUCUCCUUGGGAGUUCAAACUUUGCUGAUGACCCAUGGCACAGGGGAAAAUACAUGUUCAGGUUGGCUGCCCUGAUGUAGACCAUGAAACUGCUUGACUAAUGGGAUCAGACCCCAUGUUACAAGCAAAAGAUCUUUCCAGCAGGCUAGAAGAAACUAUACAAGAGUGGAAGUGACAUCAUGACUUGGCCUCAUUUACCCCCUCUCUCCCCCACAACUCAGCACCUGGAAAGCAGUCUGGAAAACAAAGACUUCAAACUAGGGAGGUGGUCCCAGGCUGGAAGGCAGUUCCAGCCAGUUUAUUGAAGAUUUGUGACCUGUUUGUACCAU